UACGUAGGGUGCGAGCGUUAAUCGGAAUUACUGGGCGUAAAGCGUGCGCAGGCGGUUUUGUAAGUCAGAUGUGAAAUCCCCGGGCUUAACCUGGGAACUGCGUUUGAAACUACAAGGCUAGAGUGUGGCAGAGGGGGGUGGAAUUCCACGUGUAGCAGUGAAAUGCGUAGAGAUGUGGAGGAACACCGAUGGCGAAGGCAGCCCCCUGGGUUAACACUGACGCUCAGGCACGAAAGCGUGGGGAGCAAACGGG
rnacentral:rRNA from 1 species